AACGUAGGAGGCAAGCGUUAUCCGGAUUUACUGGGCGUAAAGCGCAUGCAGGCGGAGGCCAAAGUCGGACGUGAAAGCUCCUGGCUCAACUAGGAGAGGCCGUUCGAAACUGGGCAUCUGGAGGCUGAUAGAGGAGAGUGGAAUUCCCGGUGUAGUGGUGAAAUACGUAGAUAUCGGGAGGAACACCAGUGGCGAAAGCGGCUCUCUGGACCAGUCCUGACGCUCAGAUGCGAAAGCUAGGGGAGAGAACGGG
rnacentral:misc_RNA from 1 species